AUUGAACGCUGGCGGCAGGCCUAACACAUGCAAGUCGAGCGAGCGGCGGGCGGGUGAGUAAUUCCUGGGAAUUGCCCAGUCGAGGGGGAUUACAGUUGGAAACGACUGCUAAUCCCGCAUACUAUUUGUGUCCGCCGGUGGGAUUAGCUAGUUGGUGAGGUAAUGGCUCACCAAGGCGACGAUCCCUAGCUGGUCUGAGAGGAUGAUCAGCCACACUGGAACUGAGACACGGUCCAGACUCCUACGGGAGGCAGCAGUGGGGAAUAUUGCACAAUGGGGGAAAGCCUGAUACAGCCAUGCCGCGUGUGUGAAGAAGGCCUUCGGGUUGUAAAGCACUUUCAGUGAGGAGGCGUUACUCGCAGAAGAAGCACCGGCUAACUCCGUGCCAGCCGCCGCGGUAAUUC
rnacentral:rRNA from 1 species